rnacentral:rRNA from 1 species
CAACUUUCAGCAUCGAUGAAGAACGCAGCGAAUUGCGAUAUGUAAUGUGAAUUGCAGAUCUACAGUGAAUCAUCGAAUCUUUGAACGCACAUUGCGCUCCUCGGUGUUCCGAGGAGCAUGCCUGUUUGAGUGUCAGUA